GAUAAACGCUAGCGGCAGGCUUAACACAUGCAAGUCGAGGGGUAUAGGGAGCUUGCUUCCUAGAGACCGGCGCACGGGUGCGUAACGCGUAUGCAAUCUACCUUUUGCAGAGGGAUAGCCCAGAGAAAUUUGGAUUAAUACCUCAUAGUAUGUGAGAAUGGCAUCAUUUUCACAUUAAAGUCACAAACGGCAAAAGAUGAGCAUGCGUCCCAUUAGCUUGUUGGUAAGGUAACGGCUUACCAAGGCAACGAUGGGUAGGGUCCUGAGAGGAGAUCCCCCCACACUGGGUACUGAGACACGGACCAGACUCCUACGGGAGGCAGCAGUGAGGAAUAGUUGGACAAUGGGCGCAAAGCCUGAUCCAGCCAU
rnacentral:rRNA from 1 species